rnacentral:lncRNA from 1 species
GCGGCUCCCAAAGAAAAUGCAGGCGCUCUUGGAGCUGAGGAGUUAAGAGUGUGAAUAUGGGACUCUGCGUGCGUGAUGGUGAGACGGUACUGCUCUGGAGUGCCAGGCAGAUUCAUGGAAGAAAUUGGGUGGCUGUGUUUUGAUUGUGCACGCCGGACAUGAGCUUGUGAGUUAGUUCAUUCUUGGUCCCGUGCUCCUUCUGUUGGGUAAAACUUGGAUCUGAACCGAGGGCCGUUCCCUGCUCCUGGGCUGCGUGUUGCGACCUAGGCCCGUGCACAGGAGACCCUGAAGAAGCUGCACCCGAGCGCAAUGAAGACGAGGGUAAGCGCGCCAUGUGGACGCCUUUGCAUCAGGAUGCCAGGAAUUCGCCCACUCUCGGUGGAGGCCACAAGGCCGGCCUCGCUAGGCCCCCUCUCUGCUGCCCAACCCUCGCCUGCCUUCCUUCGAGGGGGCUACCGAGUCUCCCGCGCCAGGGUGGACACCUCCACUCCCCCUUGCCCCCGGGGACGCACCGAGCGCCUGCACCCUCCUCGGCUCGCCCCCUCCCGGCCUUUGUGUGGUGCGGGACCCCGGCCCGCCGCCCCUGUGAACCGCCUGCCCCGCGCGGAGGCGGGGGCACUUUUCAAUGCCUCGCCGCAGCUCCCUCCAGAUUUGUAAUCCGCCAAAAAGCCGCUGAUUGCUGCAAUCGUUACUUUUCAUUAAAAAAACUUAGAAGCAAUUUGGGAGAACUCUUCUCAAUGAAUACAUUUACCCCCGAACGGUCUUUAUUCUCCGCCUCCACUUGAUGAGUU